UCGUAAUUGAAGAGGUUUGGAAAGACCCACCACAGAAGGUAAUAGUCCUGUAUGUUAAACGAGAAGACUUUAGAUAUGAUCCAGAGUACCACGGGACACGUGAAACCCUGUGGGAAGCAGGAGGGACCACCCUCCAAGGCUAAAUACUACCUAGUGACCGAUAGCGUAUAGUACCGUGAGGGAAAGGUGAAAAGAACCCCGGGAGGGGAGUGAAAUAGAACCUGAAACCCUGCACUUACAAGCUGUGGAAGCACAUUUCUUGUGUGACCGCGUACUUUUUGUAGAACGGGCCAACGAGUUACGUUAAGUAGCAAGGUUAAGCACUUAAGGUGUGGAGCCGUAGCGAAAGCGAGUUUUAACUGAGCGUUCAGUUACUUGACGUAGACCCGAAACCGGGCGACCUACCCAUGAGCAGGAUGAAGCGAAAGUAAAAUUUCGUGGAGGUCCGAACCCACGAGCGUUGAAAAGCUCGGGGAUGACUUGUGGGUAGCGGUGAAAUUCCAAUCGAGCCCGGAGAUAGCUGGUUCUCCCCGAAAUAGCUUUAGGGCUAGCCUCAAGGUGAGAGAUACGGAGGUAGAGCACUGAAUGUCCUAGGGGGUAUUGCACCUACCGAAGACUAUCAAACUCCGAAUGCCGUCAUCUUAUACUUGGGAGUCAGACUGUGGGUGAUAAGAUUCAUAGUCGAAAGGGCAACAGCCCAGAUCGUCAGCUAAGGUCCCUAAAUGUAAGUUAAGUGGUAAAGGAUGUGGGAUUGCACAGACAACCAGGAUGUUGGCUUAGAAGCAGCCACUCAUUCAAAGAGUGCGUAAUAGCUCACUGGUCGAGUGAUCCUGCGCCGAAGAUUUCCGGGGCUAAAACUUACUACCGAAGCUACGGCAUCAGUAAUGAUGGGUAGGGGAGCUUCCCAUACGGGUUGAAGCAUGACCGUAAGGACAUGUGGACAGUAUGGGAGUGAGAAUGUUGGCAUGAGUAGCGAGAUGUGGGUGAGAAUCCCACAGGCCGUAAACCCAAGGUUUCCAGGGGAAGGUUCGUCCGCCCUGGGUUAGUCGGGACCUAAGCUGAGGCCGAAAGGCGUAGGUGAUGGACAACAGGUUGAUAUUCCUGUACUACCGAUAACCGUUUGAGAGAAGGGAUGACACAGUAGGAUAAGCUAAGCACACUGUUGGUUAUGUGUGCCCAAGCAUUGAGGCAGUCAAAGUAGGCAAAUCCGCUUUGAUAAUGCUGGGAUGUGAUGGGGAGCGAAAUUUAGUAGCGAAGUAGCUGAUUUCACACUGUCAAGAAAAGUCUCUAUCGAGGUUAAAGGUACCCGUACCGCAAACCGACACAGGUGGGUGAGGAGAGUAUCCUAAGGCCAGCGAGAGAACUGUUGUUAAGGAACUCGGCAAAAUGACCCCGUAACUUAGGGAUAAGGGGUGCCACCAUCAGGUGGCCGCAGAGAAUAGGCCCAAGCGACUGUUUACCAAAAACAUAGGUUUCUGCUAAGUCGCAAGACGAUGUAUAGGAGCUGACGCCUGCCCGGUGCUGGAAGGUUAAGGGGAUCUGUUAGAGCAAUCGAAGCAGUGAACUUAAGCCCCAGUAAACGGCGGCCGUAACUAUAACGGUCCUAAGGUAGCGAAAUUCCUUGUCGGGUAAGUUCCGACCCGCACGAAAGGCGUAACGAUUUGGGCACUGUCUCAACAACAGACUCGGUGAAAUUG
rnacentral:rRNA from 1 species